AAAAAGGGCAUCUGCCGUGAUUGGCACAGUAGGAAAGGAGUCUCUCUGAACUUACUGCGGAAUCGCUAUCAAGAGAUUUCGGAUGCACAAUUUUUAUGAACUGGGGCUGCUGGUGAUCAUUUGUCUCGGGCGCCCCC